AGUGUGUUUACCAACUGCUAGGCAUUUCAGUCAACAAUCACCAUUGCCCAGCUACAACGGAAGUUUUUAGUUUGAGGUAAUUCUGUUGUUGGCUUUUGUUUUUACUGCCUGUAUUUGGAGAGGUCUGAGCCAACCCCACCCUUUCUAACGUGCCGCAGCGUUUCCUCGGUGUUUUCUUCCCUUUUGAGCUGAGUGGCCCAGGUCUGACUCGCAGGUGGGCAUCCGGUUGCCCUGGCAGUGUCCGUCACUGAGAAGCCGGUUCCGCGGGCCGGGUCGGGAGAACCUGGUCUCCUGGUCGGGGGUGACCGGCCUGCGGCUGCCUGCCAGCACCACCUCCUCCAAGCCGACUCGUGAAGCCCAUCAGUGCCGCCUGCAUUGCUCUUUUCCGCCCCACACUGCUUUGGUUGCUGCGAGUGAUAUUUUAAAGAAAAGAUUUCACAAAUUCAGUUUAUAAAUCCAACUUUCAACAAGUCUGAGAAAGAAAGAACUCUCCAGCAUGGAAACCUGGCCAUCAUUUGCUGUGAACACUCGUGUGCCUGAAAGCACUCGAUAUAGAACGGCCCUGAGUGAGCAUACUCGGGCAUACAUCUGUGCUGCAUCAUAUCUACUGGACAGACACACCAGGCAGAGGCUACAACAAAAGAAUUCGCCCAGGAACAUAGUCCACCAUCUCUAGUCCUCAGACAAACUUCACCUGAGGGCUUCUCCAAUGGGUAAGAAACAAGGGAAGACCAAGGGAGGAUCGUCAGGGACUGAAGAAGACUAAGGAGAUAGGACCACCGCCUGCAAUGUCCUGCCUGGGUGUGGCCACCAGAACAGCAAGAAAUCAUUGAGGAAAAAGAUAAUAAAAUCCAUAUAUGGUAAGUAGCAUUGCACUGAUAUCAGUAUCUCAGUGUUGACCAUGUUACUAUGCAAGAUAAAGAUGUUAACCAUAG
rnacentral:lncRNA from 1 species